rnacentral:rRNA from 1 species
AUUGAACGCUGGCGGCAGGCCUAACACAUGCAAGUCGAACGAGCGGCGGACGGGUGAGUAAUGUCUGGGAAACUGCCCGAUGGAGGGGGAUAACUACUGGAAACGGUAGCUAAUACCGCAUACCAUCGGAUGUGCCCAGAUGGGAUUAGCUAGUAGGUGGGGUAAAGGCUCACCUAGGCGACGAUCCCUAGCUGGUCUGAGAGGAUGACCAGCCAAACUGGGACUGAGACACGGCCCAGACUCCUACGGGAGGCCGCAGUGGGGAAUAUUGGACAAUGGGGGCAAGCCUGAUACAGCCAUGCCGCGUGUAGGAAGAAGGCCUUAGGGUUGUAAAGUACUUUCAGCGGGGAGGCGUUACCCGCAGAAGAAGCACCGGCUAACUACGUGCCAGCAGCCGCGGUAAUAC